rnacentral:rRNA from 1 species
GAAGCUGGGAAAGGGCACACGGAGGAUGCCUAGGCGGCGGGAGCCGAAGAAGGACGUGCUAAGCUGCGAAAAGCCCGGGGGAGGUGCACAGGACCUGAGAUACCGGGAUAUCCGAAUGGGAGAACCUGCAUACCUGGAGGGUAUGCGCGAGAGAGGUAAGCCGGCGAACUGAAACAUCUAAGUAGCCGGAGGAAAAGAAAGUAAAGACGAUUCCCUGAGUAGCGGCGAGCGAACGGGGAGGAGCCUAAACCGUAGAUGUGUUAAAGCUGGCGGCGUUGCAUCUGCGGGGUAGAGGGAACAUGCUGGGCUGAAGCCAUAAGGCCGGGUGUAUCAUGACGUAAGCGGAACGCGGCUGGAAAGCCGGACCGUAGGAGGUGAGAGUCCUGUAGAGCGUAAAGUGAUGAUAUGCCGUAUGUAAUCCCGAGUAGCAUCGGACACGAGGAAUCCGGUGUGAAUCAGCGUGGACCAUAUCACGUAAGGCUAAAUACUUCCGCCGACCGAUAGAGGAGAGUACCGUGAGGGAAAGGUGAAAAGAACCCUGAGCAAGGGAGUGAAAAAGAAUUUGAAACCGUGUGCUUACAAGCGGUAGGAGCGCGAAAGCGUGACUGCGUGGAUUUUGGUUAAUCAUCCUGCGAGUUAUGAUGUGUGGCGAGGUUAAGUAAAAGCGGAGCCGAAGGGAAACCGAGUCUUAAUAGGGCGACGAGUCGCAUGUCAUAGACGCGAAACCUAGUGAUCUAGGCCUGUCCAGGCUGAAGCUGAGGUAAGACUCAGUGGAGGGCCGAACUCACCGCCGUUGAAAAGUUGGGAGAUGAGGCAGGUUUAGGGGUGAAAAGCCAAUCGAACUAGGAGAUAGCUCGUUCUCUCCGAAAUGCAUUUAGGUGCAGCCUUAGUUGAAGAUAUGCGGGGGUAGAGCACUGUAUGGCCUAGGGGGCGUAUAGCUUACCGAAGUCAAGCAAACUUCGAAUACCGUAUAUUGUUAACUGGGAGUGAGUCUAUGGAUGACAAGGUCCGUGGACGAGAGGGGAACAGCCCAGACCGCCGGCUAAGGUCCCAAAUCAUGUCUAAGUGGGAAAGGAGGUGGAUAUUCACAGACAACCAGGAGGUUGGCUUAGAAGCAGCCAUACCUUGAAAGAGUGCGUAAUAGCUCACUGGUCGAGAGUAUCUGCGCCGAAGAUGUAACGGGGCUAAGACAUAAACCGAAGCUGCGGAGGCGUGCUUGCACGCCUGGUAGGAGAGCGUUCUGUAGGCCGUUGAAGGAAUGCCGCAAGGCCAUUCUGGAGGUAUCAGAAGUGAGAAUGCAGGAAUGAGUAGCGAGAAGGAGGGCGAGAAUCCCUCCGGCCGGAAGUCCAAGGUUUCCAGGGGAAGGUUUGUCCGCCCUGGGGGAGUCGGGACCUAAGCAUAAGCAGAGCUGCGAAGGCGAAUGGAAAACAGGUUAAUAUUCCUGUACCGCUGUGUACUGUCUGAGAGAUGGAGUGACGCAGGAAGGUAUGCGGGAAGGCUGACGGAAUAGCCUUUCUAAGGGUGAAGCGUGGACAUGCAGGCAAAUCCGCAUGUUUAUACGUGAGGCCUGAUGGGGAAGUGCCAUAUGGCAUAAGCCGCAGAUCCUACACUGCCGGGAAAAACUUCUAUUGAGGGAAACAGCGCCCGUACUGUAAACCGACACAGGUGGACAGAGUGAGAAACUUAAGGCCGACAGGACAACUCUGGCUAAGGAACUCUGCAAAAUGGCCCCGUAACUUAGGGAGAAGGGGUACCCGUGAUACCUGAAGGGAGAGACACCUGAAGGGGAGACGGGUCGCAGUGAAGAGUCCCAAGCAACUGUUUACCAAAAACACAGGUCUAUGCUAAGCUGGAAGGCGACGUAUAUGGGCUGACACCUGCCCAGUGCCGGAAGGUUAAGAGGAGGAUUGAGAGAUUCGAAUUGAAGCCCCGGUGAACGGCGGCCGUAACUAUAACGGUCCUAAGGUAGCGAAAUUCCUUGUCGGGUAA